rnacentral:rRNA from 1 species
CCCGGGAAACUGGGGCUAAUACCCGAUGGGUGAGGAGGCCUGGAAUGGUUUCUCACCGAAAGGAUGUUGAAACACGCUUUCAACCUUGCCCGAGGAUGGGGCUGCGUCCGAUCAGGUUGUUGGUGGGGUAACGGCUCACCAAGCCUAUAACCGGUACGGGCCGUGAGAGCGGGAGCCCUGAGAUGGAAUCUGAAACAAAAUUCUAUGCCCUACGGGGCGCAGCAGUCGCUAAAACUCCACAAUGCACGAAAGUGUGAUGGGGCUACCCCUACUGCCGUCCGCUGACGAUGGCUUUUCUUCGAUGUAAUACCCUGCCCGCAAUUAAGGGAGGGCAAUAAUGGUGUCAGCCGUCGUAGUAAAACCAACUCCCUGAGUGGUAGGGAUGAUUAUUGGGC